rnacentral:rRNA from 1 species
CCCUUCGGGGUGUGACUGCGUACCUUUUGUAUAAUGGGUCAGCGACUUAUAUUCUGUAGCAAGGUUAACCGAAUAGGGGAGCCGGAGGGAAACCGAGUCUUAAUUGGGCGUUAAGUUGCAGGGUAUAGACCCGAAACCCGGUGAUCUAGCCAUGGGCAGGUUGAAGGUUGGGUAACACUAACUGGAGGACCGAACCGACUAAUGUUGAAAAAUUAGCGGAUGACCUGUGGCUGGGGGUGAAAGGCCAAUCAAACCGGGAGAUAGCUGGUUCUCCCCGAAAGCUAUUUAGGUAGCGCCUCGUGAAUUCAUCUCCGGGGGUAGAGCACUGUUUCGGCUAGGGGGCCAUCCCGGCUUACCAACCCGAUGCAAACUGCGAAUACCGGAGAAUGUUAUCACGGGAGACACACGGCGGGUGCUAACGUCCGUCGUGAAGAGGGAAACAACCCAGACCGCCAGCUAAGGUCCCAAAGUCAUGGUUAAGUGGGAAACGAUGUGGGAAGGCCCAGACAGCCAGGAUGUUGGCUUAGAAGCAGCCAUCAUUUAAAGAAAGCGUAAUAGCUCACUGGUCGAGUCGGCCUGCGCGGAAGAUGUAACGGGGCUAAACCAUGCACCGAAGCUGCGGCAGCGAACGUAUCACCCAAGACAACUUUGCGGAGUUGACGAUUGACGGAGCGAAGCGACGUCAAAGCGUUCAUUAAAGUCGAGUUGGCUUAGGGAUACGUUCGUU